GGUGCCGUUGGCGCUACCUGUGAGGACGCCGACGCGGAUCUGGUGGUCGUGGUUGAUGCCCAGAGAAGCUGUGGAUGCCCCAGCCCUGGAAGUGCUUAAGGCCAGCACAAUAUUCAUCACUCUAAAAGAAGAAGGUACAAGA